GCCAGUGAGGUGUAGUGGUUUGAGCGCUGUACUAUGACUCUGGAGACCAGGGUUCAAAUCCCAGUUUGGCA
rnacentral:tRNA from 1 species